GACGAACGCUGGCGGCGUGCCUAAUACAUGCAAGUCGAACGAACUCUGGUAUUGAUUGGUGCUUGCAUCAUGAUUUACAUUUGAGUGAGUGGCGAACUGGUGAGUAACACGUGGGAAACCUGCCCAGAAGCGGGGGAUAACACCUGGAAACAGAUGCUAAUACCGCAUAACAACUUGGACCGCAUGGUCCGAGUUUGAAAGAUGGCUUCGGCUAUCACUUUUGGAUGGUCCCGCGGCGUAUUAGCUAGAUGGUGGGGUAACGGCUCACCAUGGCAAUGAUACGUAGCCGACCUGAGAGGGUAAUCGGCCACAUUGGGACUGAGACACGGCCCAAACUCCUACGGGAGGCAGCAGUAGGGAAUCUUCCACAAUGGACGAAAGUCUGAUGGAGCAACGCCGCGUGAGUGAAGAAGGGUUUCGGCUCGUAAAACUCUGUUGUUAAAGAAGAACAUAUCUGAGAGUAACUGUUCAGGUAUUGACGGUAUUUAACCAGAAAGCCACGGCUAACUACGUGCCAGCAGCCGCGGUAAUACGUAGGUGGCAAGCGUUGUCCGGAUUUAUUGGGCGUAAAGCGAGCGCAGGCGGUUUUUUAAGUCUGAUGUGAAAGCCUUCGGCUCAACCGAAGAAGUGCAUCGGAAACUGGGAAACUUGAGUGCAGAAGAGGACAGUGGAACUCCAUGUGUAGCGGUGAAAUGCGUAGAUAUAUGGAAGAACACCAGUGGCGAAGGCGGCUGUCUGGUCUGUAACUGACGCUGAGGCUCGAAAGUAUGGGUAGCAAACAGGAUUAGAUACCCUGGUAGUCCAUACCGUAAACGAUGAAUGCUAAGUGUUGGAGGGUUUCCGCCCUUCAGUGCUGCAGCUAACGCAUUAAGCAUUCCGCCUGGGGAGUACGGCCGCAAGGCUGAAACUCAAAGGAAUUGACGGGGGCCCGCACAAGCGGUGGAGCAUGUGGUUUAAUUCGAAGCUACGCGAAGAACCUUACCAGGUCUUGACAUACUAUGCAAAUCUAAGAGAUUAGACGUUCCCUUCGGGGACAUGGAUACAGGUGGUGCAUGGUUGUCGUCAGCUCGUGUCGUGAGAUGUUGGGUUAAGUCCCGCAACGAGCGCAACCCUUAUUAUCAGUUGCCAGCAUUAAGUUGGGCACUCUGGUGAGACUGCCGGUGACAAACCGGAGGAAGGUGGGGAUGACGUCAAAUCAUCAUGCCCCUUAUGACCUGGGCUACACACGUGCUACAAUGGAUGGUACAACGAGUUGCGAACUCGCGAGAGUAAGCUAAUCUCUUAAAGCCAUUCUCAGUUCGGAUUGUAGGCUGCAACUCGCCUACAUGAAGUCGGAAUCGCUAGUAAUCGCGGAUCAGCAUGCCGCGGUGAAUACGUUCCCGGGCCUUGUACACACCGCCCGUCACACCAUGAGAGUUUGUAACACCCAAAGUCGGUGGGGUAACCUUUUAGGAACCAGCCGCCUAAGGUGGGAC
rnacentral:rRNA from 1 species